rnacentral:pre_miRNA from 1 species
UGUUAAAAGUUUUAUCUAUUUAUACUGUUAAAAAUUGAUGUGGUUGAUAAAAUAAUCAGAUAAUGACACGUGACAUGCCAUAUGUACCUCAUGUUGACAUAUAUAGACCAAUUUUUAAUAGCAAAGAUGAAUAAAUUUUUUGAUG